rnacentral:tRNA from 1 species
UCCCUGGUGGUCUAGUGGUUAGGACUCUGCACUUUCACUGCUGGGGCCCAGGUUCGAUUCCUGAUAGUAGAA